rnacentral:rRNA from 1 species
GAGGACGACUGAUGCCACGUUAACUACACCAGUUCUCGUCCGAUCACUGAAGGUAAGCUACGUCGGGCGUGGUCAGUCUGACUCGGAUGGGUGACCGUCUGAGAGGUCACGUGUUGUUGGUU